AUUGAACGCUGGCGGCAUGCCUAACACAUGCAAGUCGAACGGUAGCAGGCCUUCGGGCGCUGACGAGUGGCGGACGGGUGAGUAAUACAUAGGAAUCUGCCCUUUAGUGGGGGAUAACCCGGAGAAAUCCGGGCUAAUACCGCAUACGCACUACGGUGGAAAGCAGGGGAUCGUAAGACCUUGCGCUAAUAGAUGAGCCUAUGUCGGAUUAGCUUGUUGGUAGGGUAAUGGCCUACCAAGGCGACGAUCCGUAGCUGGUCUGAGAGGACGACCAGCCACACUGGGACUGAGACACGGGCCCAGACUCCUACGGGAGGCAGCAGUGGGGAAUAUUGGACAAUGGGGGCAACCCUGAUCCAGCAAUGCCGCGUGUGUGAAGAA
rnacentral:rRNA from 1 species